GGAGAGUUGUCCGAGUGGUCGAUGGUGAUUGACUUGAAAUCAAUUGAGGUGCAAGCCUCCGGGGGUUCGAAUCCUCCACUCUCCGCCA
rnacentral:tRNA from 1 species